UUCCGGUUGAUCCUGCCAGACCCCACUGCUAUCGGGAUAGGACUAAGACAUGCUAGUCGAGCGCUUCAAGCCAAAAAGAGGCGCGGCAUACAGCUCAGUAACACGUGGCUAAUCUGCCCUUGGGAUAGGAAUAACCCCGGGAAACUGGGGCUAAUUCCCAAUAGGCGAAGAACUCUGGAAUGAGUCUUUACCAGAAAAGACGCUUGCGUUAUGCUCGUAGGCGUCGCCCAAGGAUGAGGCCGCGACCGAUCAGGUUGUUGGUGAGGUAAUGGCUCACCAAGCCUUUUACCGGUGCGGGCCAUGAGAGCGGGAGCCCGGAGAUGGGCACUGAGACAAGGGCCCAGGCCCUACGGGGCGCAGCAGUCGCGAAAACUUUGCAAUAAGCGAAAGCUUGACAGGGCUAUCCCGAGUGCCAUCCGCUGAGGAAGGCUUUUACCCAGUCUAGAACGCUGGGGGAAUAAGGAGAGGGCAAGUCUGGUGUCAGCCGCCGCGGUAAUACCAGCUCUCCGAGUGGUGUGGAUGUUUAUUGGGCCUAAAGCAUCCGUAGCUGGCUAAGUUAGUCCCUUGUUAAAUCCACCGAAUUAAUCGUUGGAUUGCGGGGGAUACUGCUUGGCUAGGGGACGAGAGAGGCAGACGGUAUUUCCGGGGUAGGGGUGAAAUCCUAUAAUCCCGGGAAGACCACCAGUGGCGAAGGCUGUCUGCUAGAACGCGCCCGACGGUGAGGGAUGAAAGCUGGGGGAGCGAACCGGAUUAGAUACCCGGGUAGUCCCAGUGUUAAACGAUGCAGCUAGGUGUUUUGGACGGCCACGUGCC
rnacentral:rRNA from 1 species